UUCCGGCAGGUGCGGCCUAGCUCCAGCAGAUCGAUCUGCUGCUCGGCGCCUCCGCUCUCCGCCGCGAUUCUGCGCCUCACCUCUCCACGUCGCACCGUGUCCUCCGAUCCGAGGCGUCACCACCUGCACCUCGAACGACUCCGUCGCCGGCAGGCAUGCCAUCCUGACGUGGGGAGUCGUGGCCGGCGUAUCCUGCUCGACUGGUUCGCCGGAGCUGUUCUACAACAUAGCAAGAGCACAUGUCGUGGUUCUGCUCGGGGGCAAAGGAGGCGUUCUAUGCCCCUAUCGAUGACACCCACAAUGAGCAUGUUGUGGUCGUUGUCAUGUUGAGGUUAUGCUGGUAAACAUCUCAUGUUUGAAGCACCAGCAUGAGACGGAAAAUUUAUUGCUGCUGAUGGAAGCACAUCGGCAUGCUACAACAUGAUGGGAAAGCUGUUUCGUUGUGUCACAGAGACUGUGAUGGAAGACAGAGACUUAUUAGCUACGUUGUCAUAGGCCCUUCAAAAAGUAGGAAGCAACUAACGAUUCCUUUGAAGCAUCCAUGGAUGUGAUUUCAUUGCGCAACAAAUGAGCUUAUUUGUAUUUCUUGGAAUCAUAUCCCUAGUUACUUUGAAGCUUCUGUACCCAUUAUAAUGGUUCUUGUUUACGCAAAGAGGUUUGUAUUUUGUUA